CUCAGCUUUAUAAAGUUAAGCCAGGCUCAAUUAAGGCCUGUUUGAUCUUCUCCUGCGCAUUUUGCCCCGCUAGCAAUAUUAAUGAGGCUGUUUAGUGUCAGCACCUGUGGAGGGUGGGGCUCAGCCUGGCCAGAAUUAGAGACUAAUUAGAGAUAAUCUAGGCUUCUUAACGAGCCAGGUGUGCCAGAGAGCAUUGAGAGAGCGUUUAGGUACUUCGCUCUCCCCUACAGGUAAUGACUGCAGAGACAGAGAGGAAAGACACAGGAAAACAUAGACGUUGGCAGCGUUUUAGUGUACGUUGGGUGAACUGGACUAAGAAAGAUUGAAAGAGAACGGGGGAGAAGUCGCAUCCAUCAGGGAAAUCUGCCGAAAGAGUUCAGGAGUCAAGGGGCCGGGAAGCAGCAGUGUGUGUGUGGGACGGCUUGCAUACCUCAUUAUCACUACCUGUAGGCUCAGCUCUGGGAAAGUGUCGGCUGUAGAUGGACCGGGAAGAUUAGCUGUAAGAGGGACGGACACACACACACACACACUUACAGAUCUUUCCAACCAGUGAUUUGAUGAGCGGAUAAAGAGAGGAGGAACGAGGGAAGGAGAGAUGAAUCAGGACAACACCGCAGAGGAAUGAGAUUGAGAGAUAGGAAAGAGGAACAAAGCAGUUAGGACCCUCACCCAGAAAACUGCAAGAUCCAGACCAAGACUGAACCCCCUGAAGCCCUGAUUCAGACCAAAUAUACCCCAAAGUCCCAGACUACAAAGCAGGCUGCCUGUUUGAAUGUAAUGAAGUAGAGAAAAUGUCGCAUUUAUUUCAAACACCCAAGUUUUAAUCUUAUUCAUGUACAUAUUUAGUAUCGCCACAUCAACCAGUGACCAGGCAGAACGAUUAUUUUUCUUACAUUUAUAUCACAAUUACAUCAAAUUUCAGCAAAUCCAGCAGGUCAUCUAAACGUCUUCGAGAGUUUCCUUGAGAUGCCAUAAUGAACAAAAGUGAAGUGAACCUUGCCAAAAAGAUUGAAACUGAUUGACACCCUCUUGAGGGUAUGUGGAGUUGAGC
rnacentral:lncRNA from 1 species